UACAGAGGUCUCAAGCGUUGUUCGGAUUCAUUGGGCGUAAAGGGUGUGUAGGUGGCGCGCUAAGUCGGGUGUGAAAUUUCGGAGCUUAACUCCGAAACUGCAUUCGAUACUGGCGUGCUUGAGGACUGGAGAGGAGACUGGAAUUUACGGUGUAGCAGUGAAAUGCGUAGAUAUCGUAAGGAAGACCAGUGGCGAAGGCGGCUACCUGGACCAGCACUGACACUGGAGGCACGAAAGCCGUGGGGAGC
rnacentral:rRNA from 1 species